rnacentral:rRNA from 1 species
UACAGAGGUCUCAAGCGUUGUUCGGAUUCAUUGGGCGUAAAGGGUGCGUAGGUGGCGCUGUAAGUCAGGUGUGAAAUUUCGGAGCUUAACUCCGAAACUGCAUUUGAUACUGCGGUGCUCGAGGACUGGAGAGGAGACUGGAAUUUACGGUGUAGCAGUGAAAUGCGUAGAGAUCGUAAGGAACACCAGUGGCGAAGGCGGCUCACUGGCCCGGUACUGACGCUGAGGUGCGAAAGCGUGGGGAGCAAACAGG